UACGAAGGGUGCAAGCGUUACUCGGAAUUACUGGGCGUAAAGCGUGCGUAGGUGAUUUGUUAAGUCUGAUGUGAAAGCCCUGGGCUCAACCUGGGAAUUGCAUUGGAUACUGGCAGGCUAGAGUGCGGUAGAGGAUAGCGGAAUUCCCGGUGUAGCAGUGAAAUGCGUAGAGAUCGGGAGGAACACCUAUGGCGAAGGCAGCUCGCUGGGACGGUACUGACGCUGAGGCGCGAAAGCGUGGGGAGCGAACAGG
rnacentral:rRNA from 1 species